AAGGUGGCCUUCUCAGCCUCGCUGUCUGAAUCCAAAGGACCAAAUAGUGAUGAUGUCAUCCUGGUCUACAAACAUGUCUUCAACAAUAUUGACUCCGAGGACGGUGGAUCCAAUGGUGUCACACUGCAGUUGGAUGCAGGAGAUGAGGUCUACACUCGUCUGGUGGCAGAAUUUAACGUCUUUGAUGACAAGAACCACCACAGCACCUUCUCUGGCUUUCUGCUCUUCACGUAGAAAACAGUUCCUUCCACAGCUGAAUCCUACUGCUUUGUAAUGAUUUGAUGACAUAUAGUACUAUGACAUCACAAUGUUUAUGGCUUUUUGUGUGAACUAAGCAUUGAUAACAAGGUGAAAAACAAACAAUCUUGUGUCUUCAUCAUUUAACCGAACGCAUCAGAAUCAGAACCAACCAGUCCAACAGGAUGUAUUAAGCUUGAGUUAUUCAGUUAUUUUUGUACGGACCGGAUCGGGUGAUGCAAUCUUUGUGCUGCUUUGUGGAAGAAUGAAAGUGUAGACCUGA